rnacentral:lncRNA from 1 species
UAAUACUUAGGGUUGCAUAUUUAUCCGCUUUAUAACUUAUGCUUGGCUUUAUUAGAGUCGCCAUCAAUUAGUUUCCAUCAUUAAAAGUUAAACAAAAGUUGUUGUCCUUAUUAAAAGCAUAUCACUUGUAAAACAAGCUUCCACAUUCUCCCCCUUUUUGACAAUGACAACACAUCUCUCAAGGGAAGUGGAAAAAUAAAAUAACACAUAUAUGUUUGGAGUGAUUAAGCUCCCCUUGAGUUAAAU